CAUUGUACAUCACUUGUUUUGUACACAUUAUUAGUAAUAGUACUAUUAUCAUCGUUAUUAUUAUUAUUGUUAUUAUUAUUUUCCUGUCUUAAUAAACUGUCUUUAUCUCAACUCACAGGCUUCACUAAAUCACUGUUAAAUUACAUGCUACAUAUUCAGUUUAGACAUAACUUCAGGUCUGCUGUAGACUAGGAAGAUGUUCAUCAACCAGUUACUGCAUUUGAUCAUGAGAUGGUUAUAAAAAAUGAAACAACAGGAAAACAUCUAAGGAGAAGGAAUGCUCAAAAGCCAAUCCAGCUUUGCAAUGCAGGUGCAGGUACACCUGCAUUAGGUAGGACAGUGGAUCUGUGACCUCAGACUCUUACUAUUUUUUCUGUACUCUUUUGCAGAGUUAUUCUGCAAAAUAUUCUCCUUAUUAAAAUUAAUUUAUCCAUGUUCUGCAUGCACUGGGUAGGGGAUUGGGAUAUUUUUAUCACUAAGGAUGACUGGAAGCCUUCAUUCUCUGCAGUGGAUAGCCAAAGCAAAUUCAAUUUGUGAGGUAACAGCCUCUUAUUUUUUAUAUCUGCAAAGAUUUUCAUCAUCUUAUUAUUUCUGAGGAACUCUGACAUGUAAAAAGUAAGAAUGAGCAUAGAGAAAUCACUUGGUCUACGUGGUAACCUGGUAAUGUUCUCAAACUAGUCUAUUAUAAUCACCUACAGCUGUUUGGACAUCAGUCUAAAUGAUAUUCUCAAAAAGUGGCUUCAGAAAAAUUCUUUCUCAUUCUUUUUUAUCCUUUUAGCCUGUAAAUAGAUUAUAAAUGGAACUGCAAAAGCAGAAUGCAGCAGUUUAUACACACUUAGCAGAAAUGGUGAAUCCUUCCUGUGAACAGCUGUUAGGUCAGUAUUUGUAGAAGCAUAUCCUAUUUUUACCAUGCUCACAACUCAGCUGGAAGCUGAAAUUUAACUUGAUUUGAAACAACCAAAUCAGCAUUUGAAUACAAGACUGACUUACAUAGAGAGCAAAUAAUUAUAUUUAAUAAGCACGUGUUAAAUGAGAUGUUGGAUGCUUUGUAGGUUGGAAUACAAACAAACUCUUAAGAGAAGAAUAACAGCAGAAUUGCUUGUUAACUGCCAUGAGAAGCAACCUUACAUCUGGAACUCUGCCUAUUGCUCUAAUUCAGAAAAAAAAAAAAAGGAAGUAACAUCAAACUGCCCUUUAAAAAUGAUUCGACAUUUAUGAUUCAGUGCAGAACGGCAGCCCUAGGGCCAGGCAGAAAAAGCUGCUGUAAAUCAUUCAAAGCAGGGAGACAAUAACACCAAUAUUUAAGAUUGUUAAUGAAGAUGUUAAAUAAACAGGACCAAACAGUGAUCCCUGCAGAGCUCCACAAGACACCUCCCACCAACUUGAUACAUUGCCAUUUUUCAUUACCCUUUAUUUGCACUCAGCCAGACAUUUUUAAAUCCAAGCGACAGUACUCCAUGUCCAAGCCAAUUUGAAUUAAUUUUGCAAGUAAAGAUUCUGUAAGACACUACAUUAAGUGUUUUACUCAGACCAGAUAUAUUACACAUGCUUUCAUCCACUAAUUUUCUAAAGCUAUCAGAAAAAGCAAUCAAGCUUUGAAGAUUACUAGUGCACCCAGCCAGCUUUUUGCUGGUCUAUUCAUUUACAAAACCAAUCCUGGCAUUAUUAAAGAAUUGUCACUACUUUAGCUGAUGACUGAUUUAAAAUAAUGUAUUUUUCUAAUCCAUUGACUUCCCAAAAUAUAAUACAGCACUGAUUAUUCUUACUAACUUUUAGUUUAGGGCUAUAUGGUACGUUGACUUAUGUUUUGAUUGACAGACUCAUGUUUUUCUUGAAAAUGAUCGGUGAUUUCUGUAGCAUAGCUUGUGCUUAUUUUACCUGUUUCCAGCUGUUAGAUUGUAUAAAUGGUUAUUCCUUACUCCCAAUAUGAAAGCAAAUAAGUCCUACAAAACCUCUUUAACCACAUCAGUGAAGAAGCAUCAGACUUGCAGAAGGGACAAAAACACAGUAUGAGAGGUCUAAUUCUAGACAUACUAGAUUUAUUUUUUUCACAGUCAAUGCCAGUCAAAAUAAACUUUCUCUUCUUAUUUAAUACAUUCCUUUCCCCUAUAUUAUAUUGUUUACUCAUGUUAUAAACUGUUGUGCCUAAAACUUCUAGUCAGAUUGUUUUCUUCUCUCAUCCACUCCUUAUUGUACUAUGUCCCCAUUCCUUUAACGCUUGUACCCUUCCUAACAAACUCUUGUUGUGGUGGUGAAGCGAUGUGUUCCAGAUGAAGUCUGGGGCACAGAAAAACUUGGUGACUUAUUUCAUUUUACAUGUAGACUCUUUGGUAAAACUGGGAAUGUUUCAGAUAUAGUGAAGUAUUCCUAGUUAGUACACCUAGUUAAUACGCUAAAUAUGAAGCCAUUCCUUUACAGAUGCCCUUACUAAAGACUCUUUCUUAUUCUUGCUAGCAUCAUUCAAAUACAGUUCCUGGUGAUCUCCUUAGAUGGGGCCCAGUUCUACCUCUAGUUUGUUGAAUUUUCACUGAAAUGGAUCCAAAAAGUUUAUUAAUGUGUUUCUCAAAAUUCUUCAUGCUGCCAGUCAGCUUUUUCAAUGUAAAAUUUUCAAAUUAAAAUAUUACUUACAAAAA